AUUGAACGCUGGCGGCAUGCUUUACACAUGCAAGUCGAACGGCAGCGCGGGCUUUGGCCUGGCGGCGAGUGGCGAACGGGUGAGUAAUACAUCGGAACGUGCCCAGUAGUGGGGGAUAGCUCGGCGAAAGCCGGAUUAAUACCGCAUACGACCUGAGGGUGAAAGCGGGGGAUCUUCGGACCUCGCGCUAUUGGAGCGGCCGAUGGCAGAUUAGCUAGUUGGUGGGGUAAAGGCCUACCAAGGCGACGAUCUGUAGCUGGUCUGAGAGGACGACCAGCCACACUGGGACUGAGACACGGCCCAGACUCCUACGGGAGGCAGCGGUGGGGAAUUUUGGACAAUGGGCGAAAGCCUGAUCCAGCAAUGCCGCGUGUGUGAUGAAGGCCUUCGGGUUGUAAAGCACUUUUGGCGGGAACGAAAAGGACUGUGCCAAUACCACGGUUCGAUGACGGUACCCGCAGAAUAAGCACCGGCUAACUACGUG
rnacentral:rRNA from 1 species